CCCAGUUGUAGGUCUAUAGUAACAUGGUUCGUGGUUGAAUUAAAUUUGUUUUCCUCCAUCUUGAAAGUUCAACUUCUUUGCUAUAACAAAGAUGGCGUCCUGUGUACCGUUGCUGGGUGGUACAGUUGAGUUAGCUUUACAAGCUGCAUCGAAUAAGUGAAUAAGGAACGUGCGCAGAGCGCGAUCAUCUCAGCCCCCCCCCCCUCCGCCCCCCUCCCGUACAGCAGAUUUACGAUAACUGAA